rnacentral:misc_RNA from 1 species
CGGGUUCUGCCCUUCUCGUGAACGGGUACAUUCCGGUGGCCUUAAGCAAAUCCGAGGGAGCUGGCUCUGGCGAGGCCCUGGUCUCGCUACCUGGCGCCCACCUGUACAUACAGGUCCUCGGGAAUGCACGACCCACACGGUUGGCGCGGUUCCCGC